UACGAAGGGGGCUAGCGUUGUUCGGAAUUACUGGGCGUAAAGCGCGCGCAGGUGGUCUUUCAAGUCAGUGGUGAAAGCCCGGAGCUCAACUCCGGAAAUGCCAUUGAAACUGUAAGACUUGAGGAUGAGAGAGGUGAGUGGAAUUCCCAGUGUAGAGGUGAAAUUCGUAGAUAUUCGGAAGAACACCAGUGGCGAAGGCGGCUCACUGGCCCGGUACUGACGCUGAGGUGCGAAAGCGUGGGGAGCAAACAGG
rnacentral:rRNA from 1 species